CAGCGUCUUUGGCCCUCUGGACUCCAUCGCUGUGGUCUACGUAGGGUCCGUUCAGGGUUAAGCUCAAGCUUCUGUGUCUGUUGUGGAAACCUCUUCGCUAGUACGUCUCACAGAAACGUUAUUACUCAGAAAAAAUACGUGGAAAAUCUAGCCAUAUCCCACUGUCAAAGUGAGGACACUAAGGAUAAGGCCUUUAUACCCAUCCAUUUCGGGAGAAAGAGAUGAGGAAGGCAAUGAGGAUUACUGUUACAUCUCCUGACAGAUGACAUGUGUGUGGAUCACUUAUCCAGUCGUGAGACGUACUUGCUCCACUUAUACGCUUACCAAAAUUACAAGAAAAGCUGCUAUGAACGUUCAGGAAGAAUUGGCAUCUUUGCUAUGUUGAGUCUCCUGUUAUAUGAACAAGGAAAGACAUAUUGCACUUCCCCUGUUUCAGUGUUUUCCAGAGACUUUCUCAGAAGUAAUUUAGGUGGAAAAAGAAGAAGGACAGAGACUUUUCUAGAAGCCACAAAGCUGAGCCUUUGACGUCUCUCUGGCACAGUUUGUUUGUGAAUAGGCUGCUGAGUGUCCUUGAGAGUGAAGAUUGGAUUCCUCAACCUCAGUUAAACAGGAAUUUCAUCACCCAAAACUACCAAGAGACACAAGAACAAGAAGAAGGUCAGAAAUCUGAGGCACAGCCAGCUUAAGAAAUCUGCCCAAAGCCACACAGAGAGCAGCAGAGUUGGGAAAUCAGCCCAGGCAGCCAGACCCCAUAAAUACUACUCCUCAAUAUGAAAAUGCACUGCCAGCAGCACGAACUAUAAAAUUAUACUAAUAUUAAUGACUGCUAGCGUUUAUGAAGAAUGUUGUACAGCUCAGGUACUGAUUGGUGGAAAAUCUAAGAAAAUGUGUGUAUUAAGAUUGAUGAAACUCAAAAGUGAAGUUUGAAAUGGUUAUAAAAUUAGCACUAAUUACUGAACUGAUUCUUGGUGGAGUUAUAGUUAGCUUGGAUCCAGCAAACUGAGACUCUCUAUCGAGAAGAAAAGAAUGGGUGCAAAGGAGGUGAGAAGAAGAAAUGCAUAUCAUGGUGAAUUAUUAAUAGGAUGGUGGCUUGUGAAGGAGCAGUCUAAGCCGGGAGGAAGGACCUUCAUCCUAUAGUGAUGACUACUUGAUGGAGCAUCUUCACAUUCAAAUCCCAUUCAUAUUUGCAGAUAGCAGGGAGUUAUAGAGAAGGUAAUAAGACUAGAGGCAAGGGAUGCAAGAGAUUGAAAUAGCCUUAUUUUUUCUGAACUUCAAUAAAAGAGC
rnacentral:lncRNA from 1 species